UCGCGGCCUGAGCUGCCACCUCGCGAGAUCCCAGGCUACGUGCUCUCGUUCCGCUCCUCCCGAGCUCUCCCGUUCCCUCUCCGUCGCGACAAAACCCCCCGCCGGAUGCAUCGGAUCCCGAUCCGCCGCCGUCGCCUCCUCCGCGCAGAGGGUAGGUGGUGGAUGGAUCUGCCUCCCUCGCCCCGCCGCUCGCCCGCUUGCUCGACCAGGCCGCCGCGGAUCUCACGGAGGACGUCCGCCUCGCCAUGUCCUCCCCGGCGCCGGCGCCUCCCGUCCGCGCAGCAGUUCAUGGGCGGCUGAGAUGCAGGCGGCUGCGGGAGGCUGAGCAGUGAGCACCCCGAGCUGCGGCCGGCGCGAGCGGUCUAAGGCGGACGAGCUACGGCCGGCACGAGUGGCCACGGGCGGCGGCCUUCCUCGGCGUCGUCGUUCCUCUCCUUCUGCAAGCCUCCAUUCUCCUCCUCAAGAUUUUGCGCUUGGGAACACCAUGGCAAUAGGGGCCACACGCCAUGCUGCUGCCCAGGAUCUCCAACCUCUCUUCUCAAACGAUUUCUCAGGCAGGUGUGCUCGAGCAGCAGUUCCCAACGAGGCUGCUGCAGCUGAAGUGUCCUGUCUUUCCAUAUGUAGCAUAUAAGCAAAUAUGGAAGGUCCUCCAGCAUACUAAGAGCUGCUGAAGGUGAUAAGUGAAUGUUCUGAAUAUGUUCCUUCUGGCUGCGUUGAUGUUUGUACCUCUACCAUUCAAGAACUAUUACCGAAUUUUGGACUUUCAUACCUGUCCUAAACAAAAGAUACAGGUGGCGAUGGGGUUCUUGGUGACCGGUGGAGCUGUGGCCAGCAGAGCUCUGUGUGGCCUUGGCAUGGACGGACCGGCACGGCAUGCUGCUGGUGGUUGCGGCUUCUGGUAGCCUUUUUUUUGUGUCGUGCCACAAUUAGCACUGGCGGUGGUGAGAUGAUAUAAGAAAUCCAUGCCCUGGGACUUGAUCCAGGAUACAGAGCCCUGGGACCUAAGUGUCAUUCAGAAAGAUGUUGCUCCUGAAACAGUAGAUGCAAUGAAGAGGACCAUAUCUGGCAUGUUGGGCCUGCUUCCAUCUGAUCACAUCUGUGUAGUUGUAGAAGCCCUUUGGAAUCCCUUCUUCAAGCUAUUGGUAUCUUCAAUUAUGACUGGGUCUAUCACAAUAGCAGCGAUGCCAGGGCAGUUACCUGACUUGGAAAUGCUGGCACAAUUCGGAUGUGGAACUGUCCUCCUCAGCUUAGGUGCAGCCUUUCCCUAUGGAGUCCUGUCUAUGGCAAUGGUUUUCAUGGCUGAUUUUCAUGGUCGAGAUUGUCAAAUGAAAAGACUUCAGUUUGAUAACCACAAAGAAGCUUCUUCUGCUGCCAUUACCAACACAGGUAAGAGUGCAUUUCUGGAGACUUCUUUGGGCUUCCUUUUACAUACAGUACAAUGGUUACUCCAGCUGCUGACCCCUCACUUUCUUCAUUUGACGCUUUGAAAAUGGAUCGAGCUCCCUAGCUCAACUUUAGGCUGUACAAUCAUUUGGCCAUGACCACCAAUUUUGUUGCUCCCGGUGGCAGCCCAAUCCUACGGCAGCACAAAUGUGGCGCGUCAAUCUGGUCAGGAAUUUUGAGUUGAAUUCGCCAAAAUUUCAUUUCGCAUUAAGGUCUUUCGAUGUAAGGCACUUCCAAGCUACUGCUUGAUUCGAAAGCUAAACAAUGAGCAUUUGACAGAUGGAUAGACGUUGGAUACACGGUUGUGAACUAUUUAUCCCCGAGCAUGAGAAUGGGGUCAAUGAUUUCAUGGAAUUUGUUAAGAGUAGAUACUCUAACGAUUUGAUGGUCCGAUGAGAGGUAUAAUACCCAAGUCAGUAAAAGCUGAAGACCUGUCCCCAACAUCAACGUGACCAAGCGAGAGGGGAGCAACCGUUCUUCCACUCCCCAUCUGUCAGAUCAGAUGAUGACAUUCAGUUACUGUUAUCAAUGGGAUGCAGUUCUACUUAUCGUCAGCCGAGUUCAGAGAGAAGUUCAGGAUGACCAGAGCAGCUUUCUACAGCCUCCCUAAGUGGAAGCAGAACAAACUGAAGUCUGGUGUUCAGCUCUUUUAGCCUGCCCACGGUCGCCUUGUCUCCUGAAGGCAGCAAGCCGUUCGUGAGGACCGAGGACGGCAGUUUUUACCUUUUGAAUUCUUGUUUUCACCAUCAGGGUUUUUUUUUUCAAGCUCUCCUUGUUCUUUCCGUUUCAGGACCUAAGAUUGUUUGCUGUCCGACCAUCAAAGGUUCGCACGACAGAGAUAGUUACAGUAGUCUUUCGUAACAGCAAAAGCAUGCUGCAUAAACGAUCGACGAAACUGUAGGACCAACGCAUAAACGAUUGACGAAACAGUAUGAUGAUGCCUAAUUUGACUUACGAUUUGCUGCUUA